rnacentral:misc_RNA from 1 species
UUUCCGUAGGUGAACCUGCGGAAGGAUCGUUACUGAGUGAGGGCCCCUCGGGGUCCAACCUCCCACCCGUGUUUAACGAACCUUGUUGCUUCGGCGGGCCCGCCUCACGGCCGCCGGGGGGCAUCUGCCCCCGGGCCCGCGCCCGCCGAAGCCACCUGUGAACGCUGUCUGAAGUAUGCAGUCUGAGACAAUUAUUAAAUUAAUUAAAACUUUCAACAACGGAUCUCUUGGUUCCG